rnacentral:rRNA from 1 species
CUACCUCUUACCCAUGUCUUUUGAGUACUUACGUUUCCUCGGCGGGUCCGCCCGCCGAUUGGACAAAAUUAAACCCUUUGCAGUUGCAAUCAGCGUCUGAAAAACAUAAUAGUUACAACUUUCAACAACGGAUCUCUUGGUUCUGGCAUCGAUGAAGAACGCAGCGAAAUGCGAUAAGUAGUGUGAAUUGCAGAAUUCAGUGAAUCAUCGAAUCUUUGAACGCACAUUGCGCCCCUUGGUAUUCCAUGGGGCAUGCCUGUUCGAGCGUCAUUUGUACCUUCAAGCUUUGCUUGGUGUUGGGUGUUUGUCUCGCCUUUGCGUGUAGACUCGCCUCAAAACAAUUGGCAGCCGGCGUAUUGAUUUCGGAGCGCAGUACAUCUCGCGCUUUGCACUCAUAACGACGACGUCCAAAAGUACAUUUUUACACUCUUGACCUCGGAUCAGGUAGGGAUACCCGCUGAACUUAAGCAUAUCAAUAAGCGGAGGAAAAUC